CCUACGGGAGGCAGCAGUGGGGAAUAUUGCACAAUGGGCGCAAGCCUGAUGCAGCGACGCCGCGUGAGGGAUGACGGCCUUCGGGUUGUAAACCUCUUUCAGUAGGGAAGAAGCGAAAGUGACGGUACCUGCAGAAGAAGCGCCGGCUAACUACGUGCCAGCAGCCGCGGUAAUACGUAGGGCGCAAGCGUUAUCCGGAAUUAUUGGGCGUAAAGAGCUCGUAGGCGGUUUGUCGCGUCUGCCGUGAAAGUCCGGGGCUCAACUCCGGAUCUGCGGUGGGUACGGGCAGACUAGAGUGAUGUAGGGGAGACUGGAAUUCCUGGUGUAGCGGUGAAAUGCGCAGAUAUCAGGAGGAACACCGAUGGCGAAGGCAGGUCUCUGGGCAUUAACUGACGCUGAGGAGCGAAAGCAUGGGGAGCGAACAGGAUUAGAUACCCUGGUAGUCCAUGCCGUAAACGUUGGGCACUAGGUGUGGGGGACAUUCCACGUUUUCCGCGCCGUAGCUAACGCNUAAGUGCCCGCCUGGGGNGCGCGCGAGACGUAACUACAAGAGAGUAGCGNGNGNGNGCGCGACGACGACGAGGAGGAGG
rnacentral:rRNA from 1 species